rnacentral:lncRNA from 1 species
CGCCUCCAUCCGCCGGAACACAAUGACAAGCAUCUGGAUCAGAGAGGCUUUGGCCGUCGUCUGGUUGACAGAGUUCUUGCUCUCCAGGUAAACAUCAUAACAUGUCCGUACAAUCUGUAGGAGGCUGUCACCGUGGAUGCGAAGGGAGGUAGACGUGACGGCGGAGAGCAGGCUCUUCAGCACGAGGAGCUCGACGGCGUCAUCACCUAGUUCCCGGCACUUGCAAAUGGCCUCGAUCAGCUGGACAAGGAGCUUGGCGUCGGGGCCGCCUGAAGAAGUGUCCGCCUCCCCACGUAGGUAGCCAUGUGCGAUGAGCCUCUGAAGGCAGUCGAGCGCGGGAUCAGCGAUCUUCAGGAAACCAGAGGCACAAGCAGAAAUGAGGGGACCGAGUAUGAUCUCUGCGUCCGCCAGCGAGUACUCCCCCCCUCCGCCACAAUCGAUGGGG